UCUAGGAAGGAGGCACUGCAAACCACUUCCGAAACACCUUGCCUUGAAAACUGCAAAGCACUCGUCCAAAAAAGCAGUUACUGCAGAGUCGGUAACGACUGAGUGCAGAUUAAAAAAAAAAAAGUUAGAUUGGGAAGUUUUUUGUUUUUUUUCAAAGGCCCGGAAGAAUAUGAGGCUCAUCUUAGGGAUUUUAUCUGUUUUACCUUCUUGUUGUUUGUGUGUUCCUACCAAGAGGAAAAAAGUUUGAAGUUAUGCCAAGAGCUUGCCUUUUGAUUUGGUUUAGGAUUUUUUAUUUAUCAUGCACCAUGCGAAGGAAACCCCAGGAUGUGUGUUUACCUUAAUCUGAGCAAUAUUUGUUUUGUGUGGCUACAACACAGUUCCAAAAUAAUCUGUUAAUCCAUGACCUAUUGCAUAUUCACUGUUCGUUUGUUGUAACUUAUCAGUAAAAUGUUUCAAUGAAAAAUAUAUUUUAAAACUCUGAUCUUUGUAAGAGGUGAUGUCUUUGAAUACAGGAUUACAAUGGACCAUGAUGCAGAAUGAUAAAAUAGCAAUAUGGAUAUCACUGGCUACCUCCACCAUACCUGACUAUGCUGAUUGCAAAAGUUCAAAGGGUAGUUCCGCAGCACCUGGAGGGACACAAAUUCCCUUAUUGUACAAUAUUCAAACCUUAUUUGCACAAUUGAUGCGAGAUACUGUGGUGAUGCUAGAAUGGAGGGGAGGAGCACAGGCAGAAGUCGGAGAUGGUAGAUGGAGUUCUUCCUCACUUCCCCAACCAUGGUGGUGUGCAAAAGAGGGAGGAUAGCAAAGCUGGAGGAAUCAACCAGUGUGUUUGCUUAUCCCAUGCUGCAGUUGCAAAAACAGGACACUACCAUUCAGCAAUAAAGCAAAACAGAUGCAGCAGAAGCAGGAUGGGGACUGGCAAAGAAGGCAGCAAUUGGGGCUGGUAUAGACUUUUGCUGACUCAGAAAUGGAUGGAUAGCACUUUUUAUUAGCAGUGGGGAAGGCCUGAAAGUAGUCAUUCCAAUAAGGCUGUGCAGAUACUAUAGAAGACAAUAUCUGGAUCCACCAUAAAAUUAUCUAAAUAAAGCACAACAUUUGCAUAAUAAAAGCCUAGACUAAAAUACAAUCUUAUUGGGAGAAUUCAGAGAAUGGUAUAAUCCUAGGUAUCAUCCCAUUAGUAAAUGUCUUUGACAGGCUAUGCUGCAAAGUUCAGUAAGUCAGCAUGCACCUGCCACACAUCAUCUACCUGUCACAGGGCACAUCUGGUCCUGCCAGUUACUGGGUAUUUACCCUCCAUGGAUGUUUGGUUUGGAGUGUCAGACUUGAUACAAGUAGAUAUGUCUGCUUGUGUAAUGCCUACUUGGACAGUACAUGGGCUUCUUAUAUACAUGGGUUUAGUACUCUUUUGGAAGAGUGUUAAACACACAGCAGUCUUAUGAAAGAGCGCUUUACCUCUCUUUUGAAAAACGAUUUAAACCAUAAAAUAGUGUUUUCAUGUUACCAUAAUUGUUACUCUUUUUAUUCCUUGGGGGGUUGGUAUCAUUAUUUUGAUACCCAAGGUUAUUUCUGAAUGCCACGGUACCUUUCAUUGUGCUGCUGGCCAUGGUCAUUUGCUGCCAGCACUGACAUUCCCUUGAGUAUUAUCCGUCUGAUAUAUAUUG